rnacentral:rRNA from 1 species
CGGACGGGUGAGUAACACGUGAGCAACCUGCCCUUCAGAGGGGAAUAACGUUUGGAAACGAACGCUAAUACCGCAUAACAUUGGGAUAUGGCAUCAUGACCCAAUCAAAGAUUUAUCGCUGAAAGAUGGGCUCGCGCCCGAUUAGGUAGUUGGUGAGAUAAUAGCCCACCAAGCCGACGAUCGGUAGCCGGACUGAGAGGUUGAACGGCCACAUUGGGACUGAGACACGGCCCAGACUCCUACGGGAGGCAGCAG